GGGUUGUGAGGUUAAGCGACUAAGCGUACACGGUGGAUGCCCUGGCAGUCAGAGGCGAUGAAGGACGUGCUAAUCUGCGAUAAGCGCCGGUAAGGUGAUAUGAACCGUUAUAACCGGCGAUUUCCGAAUGGGGAAACCCAGUGUGAUUCGUCACACUAUCAUUAACUGAAUCCAUAGGUUAAUGAGGCGAACCGGGGGAACUGAAACAUCUAAGUACCCCGAGGAAAAGAAAUCAACCGAGAUUCCCCCAGUAGCGGCGAGCGAACGGGGAGGAGCCCAGAGCCUGAAUCAGCAUAUGUGUUAGUGGAAGCGUCUGGAAAGGCGCGCGAUACAGGGUGACAGCCCCGUACACAAAAGCGCAUGUGCUGUGAGCUCGAUGAGUAGGGCGGGACACGUGGUAUCCUGUCUGAAUAUGGGGGGACCAUCCUCCAAGGCUAAAUACUCCUGACUGACCGAUAGUGAACCAGUACCGUGAGGGAAAGGCGAAAAGAACCCCGGCGAGGGGAGUGAAAAAGAACCUGAAACCGUGUACGUACAAGCAGUGGGAGCCCCACCACUAAGCCAGUGGUGAACUCCACAUACGCAUCCUUUGCUGAGGAUACGGUUAACGGAGCGAAAGCGACGUUCAACCUCAAAAGAAGCAGAGGGGGCUUAGUGGUGGGGUGACUGCGUACCUUUUGUAUAAUGGGUCAGCGACUUAUAUUCUGUAGCAAGGUUAACCGUAUAGGGGAGCCG
rnacentral:rRNA from 2 species